ACGUUAUUCGGAAUCACUGGGCUUAAAGCGCGUGUAGGCGGGGCGGUGCGUCGGUCGCUGAAAUCCCCCGGCUCAACCGGGGAAGGGGCGCCGAGACGACCGGCCUGGAGCGACGUAGGGGGGACUGGAACUUCCGGUGGAGCGGUGAAAUGCGUUGAGAUCGGAAGGAACGCCCGUGGGGAAGGCGAGUCCCUGGACGUCGGCUGUCGCUGAGACGCGAAAGCCA
rnacentral:rRNA from 1 species